rnacentral:lncRNA from 1 species
UUGCCUAAAAAAUUAAAAAAUUUAAAAAAUUGCUGGAAAAAUUUUCUUUGGUAACCUCUAAACCUUUCUUAUUUAAAUUAAUUCCCUUUUGUGGUGAUUGUUUGAUUUUAAAUUCAGCAAAAAGUGUGAAUGCAUGCUUGAUACACAUACACCAAUUAAUCCGCACAUAGUAAGGGCAAUCACCCCAACAAGAUAAGAAC